GAUGAACGCUGGCGGCGUGCUUAACACAUGCAAGUCGAACGGAGUCCAGCCUUUAAGACCUUCGGGUCAAAGAGGGGAAGACUGAGUGGCGGACGGGUGAGUAACACGUGGGCAACCUGGCUCAUAGAGGGGGAUAACAGAGAGAAAUUUCUGCUAAUACCGCAUAAGCACACACUGCCGCAUGGCAGAGGGUGAAAAGAGAAUCGCUAUGAGAUGGACCCGCGUCUGAUUAGCCAGUUGGCAGGGUAAGAGCCUACCAAAGCGACGAUCAGUAGCCGAUCUGAGAGGAUGAACGGCCACAUUGGGACUGAGACACGGCCCAAACUCCUACGGGAGGCAGCAGUGGGGGAUAUUGCACAAUGGGGGGAACCCUGAUGCAGCGACGCCGCGUGAGUGAAGAAGUAUUUCGGUAUGUAAAGCUCUAUCAGCAGGGAAGAUAAUGACAGUACCUGAAUAAGAAGCCCCGGCUAACUACGUG
rnacentral:rRNA from 1 species